rnacentral:antisense_RNA from 19 species
AAUAACCAAAUAUAACACCAGGACUAAGAGUAAGAUUUGUAAUUUUUCUUACGUCACCUCCUCCAGGAGCCCAAGUAUCAUAUAUUCCGCCAAAAUAUAAGGCUUUAAAUACUAAAAGGAAAGCGCCAGCACCUAAUAAAAUUAAAUGAAUACCUAAAAUAGUAGUCAUUUUAUUUUUAUCUUUCCA